GACGAACCGUCCAAACGUUAUUCGGAAUUACUGGGCUUAAAGGGUGUGUAGGCGGCCGCGAAAGUUGGGUGUGAAAGCCCUCGGCUUAACCGAGGAACGGCGCCCAAAACUACGCUGGCUCGAGGAAGACAGAGGUGAGCGGAACUUCGGGUGGAGCGGUGAAAUGCGUUGAUAUCCGAAGGAACACCGGUGGCGAAAGCGGCUCACUGGGUCUUUGCUGACGCUGAGACACGAAAGCUAGGGGAGCGAACAGG
rnacentral:rRNA from 1 species